rnacentral:tRNA from 1 species
AUUUAUAUAGUUUAACUUAAAACACUUCAUUUUCAAUGAAAAAAUGAAAUAAAUUCUAUAAAUA